AAAUUACGGAAUAAUUAAGAACACGGCAAUUAUUUUCUCAAAUACCAACGUAAUGUAAUCUUUUCUCUUCUAUCUCAUGGGCUUCACAUUAAAUAGCUUAGCUGGCAAAAUUAUUACAUUUUUUACCCAUUUCUUUACAAGCCGUGGCACACUCAAUCCUACCUCACCACCACCACCUGAUUCCGAUGAAAUGUUCGGUGGAUCCAUUAAACCAACAAAAAGUAUACAACGCAAAUACAGUAUUGCAAGGUCCUUUCUUUUUUGGAUUCGAUUUGGCAGCUUUGGCUUCGGAAGUUGAUUGUGAAGAGCGCCAGAUGAUAAUACAAGCUUCCCUCGGUAAUACUUCCCGCCGGCGAUUUCCUCUAUGCUGAAUCUCAUAGUGUUUCUCUAGGCGGCGGCUUUAGUAUCCAGAAAAUGGAUGUGGGAUCGUGCCCGAAGGUUCACUAACUGCAGCUGAGGAAAGAAUAUCCUUCGAUUAACUUUUUUUAUGCAUAUGCAAUCCUUGCAGUAUGUUAUGACUAGUUAGGAGCCAAUUGAAAGCCAAUGUUAUGCUAUUGAGUGUCUUGGUAGUUUGUUGAAUGUGAUAAGAGAAUCGGUAAAGAGUGGAUGGAAACGAAUCACGGGCCAAUUGAUAGUUAUGUGCUCUAUGAUCAAGACCAACAUGUCCAUGCUGAUGUUUAGGAAGGCCAAGUAUAUACAAAGCAACAUUUUUGUCCAUACCCGAUCUUAUAAGGGAUUAAUAAUAAUGUAAAACCAUUUGCUGUGGCACAUGUAAAGAGUCUAAAUAAUGAGCUUAUAAAUAAAAGCUUUGCUAGUGAUGCAAAUAUAUGAUUCAUCUUCUACUAGUUGUAUUGCUAAUGAUGUUUGGUUAAAUGUGUAUCUAAAAUGUAUCAUUGUUGUAUUUUUCUAUGUAUUAUGUGAUAUUUGUUAGAUGUAUCUGAAACGUGUCAUCCUAUGAUGUUUAUUAAUAUAUUUUUUUUAUUGAUUUUUCUUUUA